rnacentral:rRNA from 1 species
AGUGAACGCUGGCGGCAGGCCUAACACAUGCAAGUCGAACGGCAGCACAGUAAGAGCUUGCUCUUACGGGUGGCGAGUGGCGGACGGGUGAGGAAUACAUCGGAAUCUACUUUUUCGUGGGGGAUAACGUAGGGAAACUUACGCUAAUACCGCAUACGACCUACGGGUGAAAGCAGGGGAUCUUCGGACCUUGCGCGAUUGAAUGAGCCGAUGUCGGAUUAGCUAGUUGGCGGGGUAAAGGCCCACCAAGGCGACGGUCCGUAGCUGGUCUGAGAGGAUGGUCAGCCACACUGGAACUGAGACACGGUCCAGACUCCUACGGGAGGCAGCAGUGGGGAAUAUUGGACAAUGGGCGCAAGCCUGAUCCAGCCAUACCGCGUGGGUGAAGAAGGCCUUCGGGUUGUAAAGCCCUUUUGUUGGGAAAGAAAAGCAGCAGGUUAAUACCCCGCUGUUCUGACGGUACCCAAAGAAUAAGCACCGGCUAACUUCGUG